rnacentral:rRNA from 1 species
GCAUAUCAAUAAGCGGAGGAAAAGAAACCAACAGGGAUUGCCCUAGUAACGGCGAGUGAAGCGGCAACAGCUCAAAUUUGAAAUCUGGCGUCUUUGGCGUCCGAGUUGUAAUUUGCAGAGGGCGCUUUGGCAUUGGCAGCGGUCCAAGUUCCUUGGAACAGGACGUCACAGAGGGUGAGAAUCCCGUACGUGGUCGCUAGCCUUUACCGUGUAAAGCCCCUUCGACGAGUCGAGUUGUUUGGGAAUGCAGCUCUAAAUGGGAGGUAAAUUUCUUCUAAAGCUAAAUACUGGCCAGAGACCGAUAGCGCACAAGUAGAGUGAUCGAAAGAUGAAAAGCACUUUGGAAAGAGAGUUAAAAAGCACGUGAAAUUGUUGAAAGGGAAGCGCUUGCAGCCAGACUUGCCUGUAGUUGCUCAUCCGGGUUUCUACCCGGUGCACUCUUCUAUAGGCAGGCCAGCAUCAGUUUGGGCGGUUAGAUAAAGGUCUCUGUCAUGUACCUCCUUUCGGGGAGAACUUAUAGGGGAGACGACAUGUAACCAGCCUGGACUGAGGUCCGCGCAUCUGCUAGGA